rnacentral:rRNA from 1 species
GAACGCCCCGCAAGGGGAGUGGCAGACGGGUGAGUAACGCGUGGGAACCUACCCUUCGGUACGGAAUAACUCGGGGAAACUCGUGCUAAUACCGUAUAUUCCGGUAACGGGAAAGAUUUAUCGCCGAAGGACGGGCCCGCGUCAGAUUAGCUAGUUGGUGGGGUAACGGCCUACCAAGGCUACGAUCUGUAGCUGGUCUGAGAGGAUGAUCAGCCACACUGGGACUGAGACACGGCCCAGACUCCUACGGGAGGCAGCAGUGGGGAAUAUUGGACAAUGGGCGCAAGCCUGAUCCAGCCAUGCCGCGUGAGUGAAGAAGGCCUUAGGGUUGUAAAGCUCUUUUGGCGGGGACGAUAAUGACGGUACCCGCAGAAUAAGCCCCGGCUAACUUCGUG